rnacentral:rRNA from 1 species
UACGGGGGGGGCAAGCGUUGUUCGGAAUUACUGGGCGUAAAGGGCUUGUAGGUGGCCAACUAAGUCAGACGUGAAAUCCCUCGGCUUAACCGGGGAACUGCGUCUGAUACUGGAUGGCUUGAGUGUGGGGGAGGGAUGCGGAAUUCCAGGUGUAGCGGUGAAAUGCGUAGAUAUCUGGAGGAACACCGGUGGCGAAGGCGGCAUCCUGGACCAUUACUGACACUGAAAAGCGAAAGCCAGGGGAGCAAACGGG